rnacentral:rRNA from 1 species
AACGAACGCUGGCGGCAUGCCUAACACAUGCAAGUCGAACGAGACCUUCGGGUCUAGUGGCGCACGGGUGCGUAACGCGUGGGAACCUGCCCUUAGGUUCGGAAUAACUCCCCGAAAGGGGUGCUAAUACCGGAUAAUGUCUUCGGACCAAAGAUUUAUCGCCUUUGGUUGGGCCCGCGUUGGAUUAGCUAGUUGGUAGGGUAAAAGCCUACCAAGGCGACGAUCCAUAGCUGGUCUGAGAGGAUGAUCAGCCACACUGGGACUGAGACACGGCCCAGACUCCUACGGAAGGCAGCAGAGGGGAAUAUUGGACAAUGGGCGAAAGCCUGAUCCAGCAAUGCCGCGUGAGUGAUGAAGGCCUUAGGGUUGUAAAGCUCUUUUACCCGGGAUGAUAAUGACAGUACCGGGAGAAUAAGCUCCGGCUAACUCCGUG